rnacentral:rRNA from 1 species
GACGAACGCUGGCGGCGUGCUUAACACAUGCAAGUCGAACGGACAGGCCCUGCUUUUGUUGGUUUCUCGUGUGGCGAACGGGUGAGUAACACAUGAGUAACCUGCCCUUGACUUUGUGAUAACUUCAGGAGACUGCGGCUCAUACCCGGUAUGAUCUCCUGCUGCAUGGUGUUGGUUAGAGGGUUUCGGCGGUUGGGGAUGGACUCGAGGCUUAUGAGCUUGUUGGUGGGGUAGUUGCUUACCAAGGCUUUGACGGGUAGCCGGCCUGAGAGGGUGACCGGCCACAUGGGGACUGAGAGACGGCCCAGAAGCGUACGGGAGGCAGCAGGGGGGAAUAUGGCAGAAUGGGCGGAAGCCUGAGGCAGAAACGCCGCGUGCGGGAUGACGGCCUUCGGGUGGUAAACAGAUGUGGCAGGUGACGAAGAGUGAGUGACGGUAAUGGGUAAAGAAGCACCGGCUAACUACGUG